rnacentral:rRNA from 1 species
UACGGGGGGAGCAAGCGUUGUUCGGAUUUACUGGGCGUAAAGGGCGCGUAGGCGGUCAGCACAAGUCAGUUGUGAAAUCUCCGAGCUUAACUCGGAAAGGUCAACUGAUACUGUGCGGCUAGAGUGCAGAAGGGGCAACUGGAAUUCUUGGUGUAGCGGUGAAAUGCGUAGAUAUCAAGAGGAACACCUGCGGCGAAGGCGGGUUGCUGGGCUGACACUGACGCUGAGGCGCGAAAGCUAGGGGAGCGAACGGG